UCCCUGGUGGCUCAGAUGGUAAAGCAUCUGCCUGCAAUGCAGGAGACCCAGGUUCGAUACCUGGGUUGGGAA
rnacentral:tRNA from 1 species